AAUAGCCCUGGGUUCCUGUUGGGUGACAGGGUGAGGCUAUGGCUUUUGCCACAAGACCAGGUCAGGCAGGAUGACAAGGACCAGAGCAGAGCUAGGCCAGAAUAUCUCCUAAUGAAAUGUGUGCAGUGUGAACGUCAUGUGCUCAAGAACAGCUGUCUGUCUACCAUGACCAUCCCUAUGGAUGAUGUAGAAAUGAAACAUUUCUUCUUGUUCUUCCGCAACCUUUCAGAGAGGAGUCUGGAGUGCAUUCAAGGAAAGGGGACUGAAUGUGGUCUGAGCAUGAAAGGCAAGAACUGGUUAGGACUUGCUCUGUUACAGGAUCCUGGUCUUUAUUCCUCACGAAUCAAUCUUGCAAAGAGAGAGAGAUGCCAACAGGAGAAGAAAAGCGCUAUUAAUGCAGCAGUCCAACCAAUAUCCAGCAAGGCAGGAAUUAAGAAAGGGAAGAAAAAAAAAGCCAACCCAACACCCAAGCAAUCUGACACUUCCACCUGUAAAUAAUUACUCAUCCAAACCCCAGCGAUAAGCCCAUGACACUCCGUGCCGAUUAGGACCCCGAUGGAGAAGAAAGCCCUCCUUGGUUUCCCUCUUCUUGUCAAAGGCAGCAUUGUUCCCAAAGAGUUAACGCCAAAGCAGGUCUGCAAUUACCUGGGAAUAAUGGGGUGUGAUUGGGGCACUAAAGAGCUGGAAUUGAUUUUCAGGCUUUCUGCCCUAGAAGCUCAGGCUGGGCCCCUCCCUGACUUCCUGGUAACUCAUGACCAGCAGGGUCAAUAGAGCAGAAAUCCUUCUAAAGGGCCAAUCUGUAUUUGAAUUAUUUAAACAAUGUAAUACAGCCAAGUUAAAUGGGGCUUAUCAAAUGCUACACCUCUUAAAGCACAAUUGGAGGCAGAAGGAUAUUAACUGCUGAACUCCACGCUGGUCGGAGAGGGAGGGGAGAGAGAAGGCGUGAAAAAAAAAAGGAGAGAAAACAAAAGGGGCACCCGAUGCUGGGGCACCAGGUGACGACGGAAGGGAAUGAGAUGAUCACAAUAUCGAGAGAGCUUAACCCAAGCAAGCAGAGGAUUUAAUAAACUCCUGGCCUAGCCUGCUGCCUGCAAGGUCACCACUUAUCUGGGUCUGCAGAGGGCUUGCAAGGCGCUGGCAGCCCUCCAACUAUGUUUGGGAGUUUUUACUCUAACCUAAGGCUGCCGGACUCCCACAUUUGACAUUUUCCAAGUGCUGCAAAUGGCGAGGCAGCAAGUGGGAGCAAUGAUCCUAACAGCCAGCAGGGAGAGGGGGAGCAGUUGUUGAGGUUUUCCAAGAGCCCCGGCAAGCGUGAGGGCUCCACGGCUUGAGCUACUCCACUGGGGAUGCUGCAAACACAGUGCUCACCGCUUGAGAGUCUUUUAAUUACAGCCCAAGUGGGGAAUAAUCAAGUUUUGCAAUGGGGAAAUGUUUGGGGUAGCGUUAUCAGAGCUCUGUCUCUGCUUGGUUGCCUUCUUCUCCACGUGCAAUCAUUCUGCACCACCAUGGUGCAGGACCUUGCAGUGGAUCCUAUGCAUUUGAUUUCUGCAAAGCUAUGGGUCUGGGCUGCUGUUCCCAUUUUGCAAAGAAAUGGGACCAAAAAAAAAAGAGAUAUAUCAGUGAUGGAGAUUCAGCAAAAGAAGUUGUGGUCAUGAAACCAGGUUUCUCAAUGUAAGAACAAACCACUCUGUGCCUUAAGCACAGUAGUCACUCAGGGUUAAGUGCAUGGAGUCACUGUAAUUAAAGAGCUGUAUUCGUUAAGAGAUGUGCUGCUAGAUGCACAAUAAUUCCAAUGAGCUGAGGUGCUCUAUUUCUCAGCUGGGAAUAUUUCUGUUGUUGGAUGGAAAGUGCAGGGAAGAAAUCUACAGUGAAGAGAGGUUAAAAAUAUAAACUCACUUGUUGUUUUCUUUCCCUUCUUUCCCUCCUUUUAUCUGGCUGGAAAACAGGCUGUGCGGGACAGGGAGUAAAAGAAAACAAAAGAGGAAGGAAAAGUGGAAACAAAAGUGCUGUGUUUUACUCCUCCUCUCUCAAGGAAAGCAGUCCAGACAACCUCUUCCAAAACAUACUUUUUCACUCGAGAGAUGCCCCAUUGAAAAAUGUAUGUUUCUGGGAGAGGGAAUGAUGGAAGAAGAAGAGUGGCAGAGGAGAAACGGGAAGUGCUCGAGUACAAAUGGGAUUGGAAGUGCAAAGGGGGUUAUUUGUCAGAUAGGGAGGAUUAUUUUACAUCUCGACCACCUAUGCAACCACGUGCAUCUGCCUAAAUGAAAUGUUGGUUUAAUCAUCCUGGUCAAAGUCCUUUGGCUGCAGCCAUGGCUUGUUGUACUGUGGAUUAACAGGGGAAAAAUAAUUAAGGGAUUCCAUAUAUACAGUUUUUCUGGCUUUGGCAAGGAACCCCAGGGUCAGAGAAAAGCUCUGAUUUCAAACAACUGUAUUUUGAGUGAUCCUGUUUAUUUCAAGUGUCUGCUGAGGCUUUGACUCUGAGCUAUUAAUACAGAAUAAAUAAUUUUCACACGAG
ensembl:lncRNA